rnacentral:rRNA from 1 species
GUGAGGAAUAUUGCGCAAUGGAGGCAACUCUGACGCAGCCAUGCCGCGUGCAGGAAGAAGGCGCUACGCGUUGUAAACUGCUUUUAACCGGGAAGAAACCCCAGGACGUGUCCUGGGUUGACGGUACCGGAGGAAUAAGCACCGGCUAACUUCGUGCCAGCAGCCGCGGUAAUACGAAGGGUGCAAGCGUUAUCCGGAUUCAUUGGGUUUAAAGGGUGCGUAGGCGGAGCGUUAAGUCAGUGGUGAAAUCCUGCAGCUUAACUGUAGACUUGCCAUUGAUACUGGCGCUCUUGAGUGCGCUUGAAGUGGGCGGAAUGUGCCGUGUAGCGGUGAAAUGCUUAGAUAUGGCACAGAACACCAAUUGCGAAGGCAGCUCACUAAGGCGAUACUGACGCUGAGGCACGAAAGCGUGGGGAUCGAACAUGAUUAGAAACCCGAGUAGUCC